rnacentral:rRNA from 1 species
AACGAACGUUGGCGGCGUGCCUAACACAUGCAAGUCGAGCGCGGGCAGGACUUCGGUCCUGUUCCGAGCGGCGCACGGGUGAGUAACACGUGAGUAAACCUGCCUCGAAGUUUGGGAUAACCGCCCGAAAGGGUGGCUAAUACCGGAUAAGCCCCCACUGGCACAGGCCAGAGAGGGAAAAGCCUUGGCGCUUCGAGAUGGGCUCGCGUCCCAUUAGCUAGUUGGUGAGGUAACGGCUCACCAAGGCGAAGAUGGGUAGCUGGUCUGAGAGGAUGAUCAGCCACACUGGAACUGAGACACGGUCCAGACUCCUACGGGAGGCAGCAGUGGGGAAUCUUGCGCAAUGGGCGAAAGCCUGACGCAGCAACGCCGCGUGCGGGAUGACGGCCUUCGGGUUGUAAACCGCUUUCAGCAGGGACGAAAAUGACGGUACCUGCAGAAGAAGCUCCGGCUAACUACGUG